GCUUUAAAAGCUCAACUGGUGGAGCGUUUGAUUGAAAAUCAAAAGGUUGUAGGUUCAAGCCCUACUUAAAGCA
rnacentral:tRNA from 3 species